AUGGCCGACGCGGGUCAUAGUGUAGUAUCUGUUCGUAUCAGCUUAAUAUCUGAUGUGAGUUGGAUUUGAACCCAAGAUAUUAAACUUAUUUUUCCAAGUUGGCGGAGUGCUUGAAGCCCAGCUGCUUCACCACCGCCGCGGGUUGGCCCGGUAUUUCCCUAUCUUCGGGAUCGGCCCACGUUUC